UCUCUAACUGCCUAUAUUAAAACCAUACUUAUGGUUUGUUAUGCUGUCAGAUUCAGCUAGGGAAUAAAAGGGAAUUCUUGGAAAUUUUUCCUGCAAGGGACAUGUUUUCAGGGACAGGGAGCCUGAAUGGGGCCACAGAAACCACCUGAGCACUUGUGCACUUUGUGUAUCUCUUGUUCCCUCCGUGGGCUCUGCUUCCCUUCCUCCUCAGGAGGAGUGCUCCUCUCAGUUUAGGAAAGAUUGCUUUAGGGUAGAAACUGAAAGGUAGGUGAGGAGCUGGAGGCUGAUACAGGGAGUGUUUAAGUUUGUUAGGGUAGGAAAAAAUGGAGCAGCUUGCACUAACAGCAAGAGAAAGUUUUGUUUUGUUUGCUUUGUUUUCUGUUGUACAAAUACUCUGCAACAAUUGCUGUUUCAUUCAAUCCCCAACCUCUCCCUCUCCAGUAUUGCUCCAUCCUUCCUCAGCCAUCCCCUUAUGCCUCCCACUCACACUUUCAUUAAAGAUUAAUUAUUUCCUUUACACUCAUCCUUGCCAGCCCUGGCCUUCCCCCUGUGCUCAGAGCUUUCCGAAGCUCCUUCACCUCUGUGCAACCCAGCUUCUGCUCAUUUAAAAAUCCCCUGUUUGAGAGCACACAGACCUCUAUCCAACCUGCCUGGACCAUUUCUUUCUUCCCUUUCCCAGGGUAAUCUGCCAGCCCAGCUUCAGAGCUGUGCCUUCCCUUGACAGUGACACUGAGUGUGUACUGCCCCAUUGCCCAGCAAGCCUUCCAUCCCGACCAUCCACUGCACCCAAGCUUGGAAACCCUUUUAUUUCUUGUGCUGGCCCUGGAAAAUUGAAGGAAGCAGCAGGAAACCCUAUGCCCAGGUUUUAUCAGGUCAGUCUGAUCCACCCAGAAGCUGAUGCACCCUGAGCAGGGGCGGCCCACAGGAAUGCUCCUACCUGGAGGAUGCAGCCGAGCUGCCUCAGAGCUGGUGGCCUUGCAGGUGGCCCCCAGCACUGAGCCACAGCAGCUAUGAAGACAGCCCAGGCCACCCCAAUGGCCAGAGUCUGGAUUGCUACAGAUCAGGCUUGGUUGCGGGGGCUCAGUCUGAUGCCUGCAAUGAACAAGCUGCAACUACAUAAAAUACAGCUUGUGAGUAGUGGCAGGCUGGAGGCAAAAGAGGGGAAGACACAAAUCAUCCAGGCAUGGAGAGGAAGAGAUAAUGAGAAAAGUAGCUGAAACCUAAAGAACCUCCUGAGAAAGGAGGAGCCCCUCGGCUGUAAAGACAAAACAAAUGUGUUUGCCUUUGAAACGACUGUGACUGUGACGCUGCUGGCUGGAAGAGCUGUCUGCAUUUAAAACGGUGUGACUGCGUGAAGUGGGAACGAUGUGUAUACAGCACACGGUAGUGAAGCAGGAAAGUUGAGGAUUUCAAGUGACCUCUCAGAAGCUGUGCAGACCAUGUGGAGAGCAGCUCUUCUCUUCCCCGGCUUCCUGCUAGCAUUGCCUUCAAGGACAAUGCCACUCUAGACAGAUACUUUGGCUCCACAGGACAUUGUUAGGAACUGAAGAUCUUGCCCAAGAAAUCAGUAAACAUUGAAGCCAAACAAGCAUAACACACUCUUUGACGAAGCACAUUAUUCAUGCCACUUCAGUGAGGGGCCUUCACCUUCACUGAUGGCAACUGCUCACCGACAAUCAUCGCAGAUGGA